rnacentral:rRNA from 1 species
UUUUUAAUUUAAGGUCUAGCCUGCCCAAUGAUUUUUUAAUGGCCGCGGUAUUUUGACCGUGCGAAGGUAGCAUAAUCAUUAGUUUUUUAAUUGGAAGCUUGUAUGAAUGGUUGGACGAGAUGAAUACUGUCUCUUUAUAAUAAGUAGAAUUUUAUUUUUAAGUAAAAAAGCUUAAAUAUUUUUAAAAGACGAGAAGACCCUAUAAAGCUUUAUAUUUACAAUUUUUGGUGAUUUUAUUUUUAAGCUCUAAGAAUUGGUAAUUAUUGGGUUGGGGAAAUUUAAAGAUUUAAUAAAUUCUUUGUUUUUUUCAUCAUUAAUUUAUGUUUAUUUGAUCUUGUAUUAUGGAUUAGUAGAUUAAGUUACUUUAGGGAUAACAGCGUAAUUUUCUUGGAGAGUUCUUAUCGAUAGGGAAGUUUGCGACCUCGAUGUUGGAUUAAAAUUAAUUUUAGGUGCAGAAGUUUAUAAAAUUUGGUCUGUUC